rnacentral:pre_miRNA from 13 species
AGGCAGGGCAGUCUGUCUUCAAGUGGGGGUAAAUGACUGUAAAACAGAAAAAAAAUCCUAGAGUUUUCCCUUCAAGUCAAGCAUCUUGU